AACGAACGCUGGCGGCAUGCCUAACACAUGCAAGUCGAACGAGACCUUCGGGUCUGGUGGCGCACGGGUGCGUAACGCGUGGGAACCUGCCCUUAGGUUCGGAAUAACCCCCCGAAAGGGGUGCUAAUACCGGAUAAUGUCUUCGGACCAAAGAUUUAUCGCCUUUGGAUGGGCCCGCGUUGGAUUAGCUAGUUGGUAGGGUAAAAGCCUACCAAGGCGACGAUCCAUAGCUGGUCUGAGAGGAUGAUCAGCCACACUGGGACUGAGACACGGCCCAGACUCCUACGGGAGGCAGCAGUGGGGAAUAUUGGACAAUGGGCGAAAGCCUGAUCCAGCAAUGCCGCGUGAGUGAUGAAGGCCUUAGGGUUGUAAAGCUCUUUUACCCGGGAUGAUAAUGACAGUACCGGGAGAAUAAGCUCCGGCUAACUCCGUG
rnacentral:rRNA from 1 species